CCUACGGGCGGCAGCAGUGGGGAAUAUUGGACAAUGGGGGAAACCCUGAUCCAGCGACGCCGCGUGAGUGAAGAAGUAUUUCGGUACGUAAAGCUCUAUCAGCAGGAAAGAAAAUGACGGUACCUGACUAAGAAGACCCGGCUAACUACGUGCCAGCAGCCGCGGGAAUACGUAGGUGGCAAGCGUUAUCAGGCUUUACUGGGUCUAAAGGGAGCGUAGACGGCAGCGCAGGUCUGGAGUGAACUGCCGGGGACCAACCCCGGAACUGCUCGGGAAACGGUGAAGCUGGAUUGCAGGAGAGGUAAGCGGAAUUCCUGGUGUAGCGGUGAAAUGCGUAGACAUCAGUAGGAACACCGGCGGCGAAGGCGGCUUACUGGACUGUAACUGACGUGGAGGCUCGAAGGCGUGGGGAGCAAACAGGAUUAGAUACCCGGGUAGUC
rnacentral:rRNA from 1 species